rnacentral:rRNA from 1 species
GAAACUGGAGAACUUGAGUACAGAAGAGGAGAGUGGAAUUCCACGUGUAGCGGUGAAAUGCGUAGAGAUGUGGAGGAACACCAGUGGCGAAGGCGACUCUCUGGUCUGUAACUGACGCUGAGGUGCGAAAGCGUGGGGAGCGAACAGGAUUAGAUACCCUGGUAGUCCACGCCGUAAACGAUGAGUGCUAGGUGUUAGGGGGUUUCCGCCCCUUAGUGCUGCAGUUAACGCAUUAAGCACUCCGCCUGGGGAGUACGGCCGCAAGGCUGAAACUCAAAAGAAUUGACGGGGGCCCGCACAAGCGGUGGAGCAUGUGGUUUAAUUCGAAGCAACGCGAAGAACCUUACCAGGUCUUGACAUCUUCGGAUGUCCCUAGAGAUAGGGAGUUCCCUUCGGGGACCGAAUGACAGGUGGUGCAUGGUUGUCGUCAGCUCGUGUCGUGAGAUGUUGGGUUAAGUCCCGCAACGAGCGCAACCCUUGAUCUUAGUUGCCAGCAUUCAGUUGGGCACUCUAAGGUGACUGCCGGUGACAAACCGGAGGAAGGUGGGGAUGACGUCAAAUCAUCAUGCCCCUUAUGACCUGGGCUACACACGUGCUACAAUGGAUGGUACAAAGGGAAGCAAAACCGCGAGGUCAAGCCAAUCCCAUAAAACCAUUCUCAGUUCGGAUUGUAGGCUGCAACUCGCCUACAUGAAGCCGGAAUCGCUAGUAAUCGUGGAUCAGCAUGCCACGGUGAAUACGUUCCCGGGCCUUGUACACACCGCCCGUCACACCACGAGAGUUGGUAACACCCGAAGUCGGUGGGGUA